rnacentral:lncRNA from 1 species
UGCUCCAAGGUAUUUUCUUUUUUUGCUGGACUAUAAUUCCUAGAAGGGAAGUAUAAGAACUUUUUUUUUUUUAAACACCAAGAUUUGUAGAAGUUUUAUCUUCAGUUGGGAUUCAUGACAUCUAUCGGUAAUUGAGGUGAAUUUAAAUAGUUUACCUAUAAAAGGUAAGUUGUUAGUACUCUUUUAAAAAAAUCUAAAUAGUUCUUUUCCUUGCUGGAAAUCAGUUAUUAGUCUUUACCUAGCCUUUUGUUCAUAAGCACUUCUAAGGUCUACUGUUAUCUGGUUGAUGUUGGUAAUGACUAAUAUUUAACCAUGUGUAUUCUUUGCAUAUUCUUUCUCCCCUUGGCUCCCCACAGUACAGGGGAUUGAACCCAGAAACAUUAUCCCUCUGAUCUACAUCUCAGCCCUCUUUUUAAUUGUGUUUCAAGACAAGGUCUUGUCAAAUUGGCCGGUCUUGAACUUGGUGGCCUUCCUACCUUAGACUCUCCAGUAGCUGGGCUUAGGUAUGUGGCACAGUACUCAGAAACAGUGUAUAUUAUUUAAUCUCCCCAUCCCUUGUGAAAUUGGUUAUCAUCAUUGUCCCUAUUUUACAGAUUAAGACCCCAGCAUAGAAGUGACUACACUCUAGUAAAUUACAGAGAUAACCAGUUCUUGGUAUUCUUAUGUUCAGAUUUUCAUGUUUGACCACUCUGGGCAACAAAGAUGGUAUAGUCUUGUAUUGACAUAAGGGAAAACUAAAUUUUGUUCUUAAACCAGCCAAAUGACUUUAUAAUGAACUGGGCUCAUUUGGUUAAGGAAGUCUCUUAAAUCAGGUUAUUUGUUUGGUUUUACCUUAAAAUACAGGGUU